rnacentral:rRNA from 1 species
CCUACGGGAGGCAGCAGUGGGGAAUAUUGCACAAUGGGGGGAACCCUGAUGCAGCGACGCCGCGUGAGUGAAGGAGUAUUUCGGUAUGUAAAGCUCUGUCAGCAGGGAAGAAGCAAGAGGGUACCUGACCAAAAAGCCCCGGCUAACUACGUGCCAGCAGCGGCGGUAAGACGUAGGGGGAAAGCGUUAUCCGGAUUUACUGGGUGUAAAGGGAGCGUAGACGGCAGGGCAAGUCUGGAGUGAAAGGCGGGGGCCCAACCCCUGGACUGCUCUGGAAACUGGCCGGCUGGAGUGCAGGAGAGGUAAGUGGAAUUCCUGGUGUAGCGGUGAAAUGCGUAGAUAUUAGGAGGAACACCAGUGGCGAAGGCGGCUUACUGGACUGUAACUGACGUUGAGGCUCGAGAGCGUGGGGAGCAAACAGGAUUAGAUACCCCGGUAGUC